rnacentral:tRNA from 1 species
CUGGAUAUAGUGUUUAAUGGUAGCACGCGUGCUUUGGGAGCAUGGAGAGUUGGUUCGAAUCCAGCUAUUCAGA